CAGGGUCUCUCAAACAAAUCCAGAACUCACUGAUAUGGCUAGUCUUGCUAGCCUGCUUGCUCUAGGGUUCUCCUGUCUCUGCCUUCCAAGACUGGAAGUUACAGGUGGACUGCUACAUCUACAGGAAUUUAUGUGGGUUUCUGGAGUUCUGAACUUUGGUACUUAUGCUUAUGUGGCAAUUGCUUUAACUGAUGAACCAUCUCCCAGCCCCCAAAUCUUUCUGUUCUAGAGGGAAUGGAUCUUUUGCCUCCAGACUCAUCUUUCUAAACUGCUUUAUGAUGUAAUCAAACAGUACCUGAUGCCCAGCAAAGCAGGACACGAUAUGCAGGCUGCACUCUGAUGUGGUUGUGAUUUCUAUUUGCAUUUGUGGCUUGCUCACAGUAAUUUUUUUUGGGCCUGCCUGCCGCUCCUGGGCCCUGGAGCACCCUUGACCCCUGGAACAGAGAAGCAUGCACCCCCAAAGAGUUUCCUGGGUCUCCUUCCGGGAGGCCAAAAAGGACUGUGGAGCCCCAGACUGGAGUCUCUCACCAGGUGAAGUGAGACAUAGAACCAGACUGGACAUCGUGACCAGGAAGCAGGAGAUCUCCCAGGGCCUGAGGCUUUGCUGUCACAAGACUCUAAACCCUACCGACUUCGCAUGCUGGCCAGUCUGACCCUGUGUCCCAUGUGCUUGUGUUUCUACCUCCCACUUUUUCUAAGUUCCUGCAUACUACUUUGGGAGAGAGUUAACUGCAAAUAACUGUAAUUAAAUCAUACUCAUGAAAACUAUUUUAUUAUACUCUUUAUGCUUUUGGUAUUGUCAGUCUUUAAAUGGUCUUUAAUAAUGGAUCAAUUUUGUAUUGCCUUAUUAAGACCAAAUAUUUCUUGUGAUCUCCUUUAAUGGAAUUGUCUUUAAAACUUUUUAAGCAUUAGCUUGUUUUAAUCGUACUGUAACUUUUGGUUGUGGUUAGCUUUGAGUACAAAUGAAUGUAUAAGUCUGUUAUCCAUCACUUGUUGAGUUUGAAACCCAAUUGGGAAUAUUUGUCAUAUUAGAAUGUAAAUGACAUUUCUGAAAAUGCUUUCUUCAAGUAAAAAUCCUUAUGUUUAGCAUCAAUGUGUGUGACUCUGUUGAGUACAGCCAUUUCUGAGAUGAGAUUCUGUGUGCGUGUGUGUGUGUGUGCAUGCAUGUAUGUGUGUAUGUAUGUGUGUGUGUGUGUAGUUCUGUUGGCUUUUAAGAAUUUCUUUUACAUACACUUAUGAAAUAUUGAAGACCAAUCAGACCAUUAAUGGAAACUUAAUGCAACUUUUGUAAUGAAAAUAAUACUAUAAAGUAAAACUAAAACAUAUCAUUGAAAUUAAUUUUCAAUAUGCUCAUAUUUUAAUUUACAAUGGAAAAAUACAUUCCACAACUGGAGACUCACAGUGCUGUGUAAACCGUGAAAGAUCUUAUAUGUUACUAUUCUGACUGUUUUAAAUUUUAGAGUCACAUUUUAUUCUGAU